rnacentral:misc_RNA from 1 species
GACCUAGAUAUGAAAGGGGAAAUCGAGUAUCGAGCACGAUGUCGGAGCCCUACAAAUUAACACGUCAUUGUGAGGUCACAGCAAUUCUCAUUCUGUUUGGUCUUCCUAGGUUGCUGACCGGGUCAAUUUUAGCUCAUGAGAUGAUGCACGCAUGGCUGCGCCUUAAAGGUUUUCGAACUCUCAGUCAAGACGUUGAAGAAGGUAUCUGUCAAGUUCUAGCACAUAUGCGG